rnacentral:rRNA from 1 species
UACAGAGGGUGCGAGCGUUAAUCGGAAUUACUGGGCGUAAAGCGUGCGUAGACGGUUAUUUAAGUCGGGUGUGAAAGCCCCGGACUCAAUCCGGGAAGUGCAUUGGAUACUGCUAAGCUAGAGUACAGGAGAGGUGAACGGAAUUCCUGGUGUAGAGGUGAAAUUCGUAGAUAUCAGGAGGAACAACAGAGGCGAAGGCGGUUCACUGGACUGUCACUGACGCUGAGGCGCGAAAGCGUGGGGAGCAAACAGG